rnacentral:misc_RNA from 1 species
CGAAAGGUCUACCCUCUACAAGUAAAUUUCCAACAGGUUACAGUUCCCAUAAAGAGAAGCAGCAGCUAGAGAGUCCAGAAACAAUAACAGAGAAGAUAAUGGCACACAAUAGCAGCUUCGAGAUCGACCCAAGAAGCGGCUUUUGCAGAUCCAAUUCUAUUUUCUACAGCAAACGCAAACCAAUUCCUCUCCCACCCAAUUACUCCAUUGACAUCACCACCUUUAUUUCAUCCCAAGCUCACCGUGGCAAGACUGCCUUCAUCGACGCCACCACUGGUCACCACCUCACCUUCUUCGACCUAUGGAAAGCCGUCGAUUCCGUCGCCACCUCUCUAUCUCAGAUGGGUGUCCGCAAGGGCCACGUCAUCCUUCUCCUUUCCCCAAAC